ensembl:lncRNA
GGAGGCGGCGGCGGCGGCGGCGGCGGAGCGGCGAAGGCGGGGGGCGGGGAGGGAGGAGGGAGGCACCGCCCCCCGCGGGAGGAGCCAGUCGGCAGCCCGCGCCCCCUCCCCGCGGCCCGGCCCAGGGGCCCCAAGGCGGGCCGGGGUCCCGGAGGGGGCGCCGGCCCCGAGGUGUUCCCCAGUCCCGGUGUCUGGGGCACCCCAGGGGGUCCCGGGGCCCCCGGCGGGGGCAGGAGUCCGGGCCCUGGACGUGCGGGUCCCCCUCGGGAGGCGAGGCUCCCCAGAGUGCGCGGCUUCUUCAGGGGGCCGGGCCGGGCAGGGGGGGCCGUGAGGCCCAGGGCUCGGGCCCCCCCGGGGGGAGUCCUGGGGAACGCAGCCCGAGGCGCCCAAGCGGGGUCCGCCCCCUCCCCUCCAUCUCCUCAGCGGCCGGCGGGGGUCCCGAGGACCGCCCCCCCCCCGGGGGGGGGGGCGCUGGAGGGAUCUUCCCCGCCUCUAGCGCUCCUGCCCCCGGCGGCCACAGCCGGGGUCCCCCCUCCAAGCCGAGGGUCCCCCCGCCCCCCCGGGCCCCUGCAGGGAGGGCCGGGCUGUCUCCGCGAGAGGGGCGGACGCGGGCUGAAUGUUAAUCACCCCGCGAGUCUGUUCCAGCCAGCGCGUCCCUCUCCCCCUCCCUCCCCUCCCGCUCGGGCGCGGGCUCCUUCCCAGCCGCCCGCCCCCCGCCCCAGCCUAGGUGUGCGGCAGGCGGGCGGCGGGAGGCUCGGUCCGGUCUGUCUGCCUGCCCGACUCGGUCCCGGCCCCGGCGGCGGGGGGGCCGCGGGGGGGCCGCUCUGCGGGCUCGGCGUCUCCUCUCCGGCGCGGCCAGAGCCUGACCGGGCCCCUGGGCCGGCCCUCGUCGCUCCCCUCCCCCACGACACAGCAGGGUCAUGAAAAGGUAAGGCCAGAGGAGGGGGCUGGGGGGGACCCCAGACCCAGGAGGGGCAGAGGGCGCCGGAGCCGGGCUGGUUUCCCUCCCCAGCUGUAGGGCUCCCUGUGCCCCUGCACACACACCCCCCGCCCCCUCCCAGCCCCCCACUUCCUCAACCCUCGGCCCUUGGCCCCUUCCCUCCUUGGCCCCAUUUCUCCUCCUUGGGUUCCCUCUUUCCCUCCCUCUCCCUCCACGUCCUUCUGUCCCUUUGCAUGGCUCCCCUGCCCGGCUCCUGCUGGCUCUCCCUGGCCCUCAUCCCUCCCCCUCCCUCGCUGCCCAGCCUGUCUUCCUUGGCCCUUUCCUCAGUCUCUGUCCCUCCCCAGCUCCCCAUUUCUCCUUCCCCUCCCCCCUUCUCCCUGGCCCCUCUCCCUCCCCAUCCCACCUCCUCCCUCCCUCCCUCCCUCUCCUCCCAGGCUCCAUCCCCUCCCCUCAGCCUCUGUCCCUGUUCCCACGGCCUGUGACUCUGCUCUUCAUCCUGCUUACAAGGCCCUGAAGGUCGUGAGGCCCCGGCCCCGGGCCCGGACACCCCCCCCCCACGAGCCUGCGGCCCGAGGAAGUCCAGGCCUGCCCUCCCCCUUCUCAUCCCUGGGUCUGGGACCGUGCGGGGUGGGGGGGGGGGAGAGGAACUGUCUGCGGCAGUGCGGCGGAGAGGCCCCGGUGCGGGCGCAGCUCGCUGGGCCCUGACCCGCCAGCAGGGCCUCUGUCCGGUUCAGCACCGGCUCACUGCCCGCCAGCUCCCCUCCCUCCUCUGCAGUGCUGGGCUGGGGGGGAUGGGACGGCCCUGGAGGGGAGCGCGAGCAGCCGUCUCCCAGAGGGAAGGAGACCAGGGGUGGAAAUCAGUCUCAGAGGCUUGCCUGCCCCUUGGGGGGGUGGGAAACCCCCGCUU